UACGUAGGUGGCGAGCGUUAUCCGGAAUGAUUGGGCGUAAAGGGUGCGUAGGUGGCUUGUUAAGUCUGGAGUUAAAGCCGGCAGCUCAACUGUCGUACGCUUUGGAAACUGGCAAGCUAGAGUGCAGGAGAGGGCAAUGGAACUCCAUGUGUAGCGGUAAAAUGCGUAGAUAUAUGGAAGAACACCAGUGGCGAAGGCGGUUGCCUGGCCUGUAACUGACACUGAAGCACGAAAGCGUGGGGAGCAAAUAG
rnacentral:rRNA from 1 species